ncrna:Thermodesulfovibrio yellowstonii DSM 11347 Fluoride riboswitch
UUUAAAAAAGGCGAUGGAGUUCGCCUGUAAGUGCCUCUGAUUUUCAGGGGCUGAUAACUCCUACCUUAAA